rnacentral:misc_RNA from 1 species
AAAACUCAUUAUUUACACAGAUUCAAAAACCUAAAGAAAAGAAAAUUAAGUUAAAGAACAAAAAAAUUUUUAGAAACCCAGAUUCAUCAAUUUACACUUAUUCAAUAACCCAAACUCAUUAUUUACAGAGUCAAAAACUCAUCAUUUACAUUCAUACACAAAUGACAAGUCUCGAAGACUAAAAGAUGAUCGGUGACUAUAGGCGAUGGUUGUAGAAGAACACUGAAGAUGGACGAUCUGGCGAGCGAGGAGCAAAGGAGAUGGACAUAUCUACGAGGCCCAAGGAGAGAUGGAUCUGCGAGGAGCCAUGAGUUUGCCAUCAGGCAUGAAGGUGAGGUCAAUGAUGGUGAAUCUAGAAAAUGGCCAGAUCUGAAAGUGAAUGAUUG